GCCUACGACCAUAUCACCCUGAAUGCGCCCGAUCUCGUCUGAUCUCGGAAGCUAAGCAUGGUCGAGCCUGAUUAGUACUUGGAUGGAAGACUGCCUGGGAAUACCAGGUGUUGUAGGCU
rnacentral:rRNA from 1 species